AGAGGAGAGUAAGACAAGACAAAUCACGUUGUUCUUUUUCCUUCCAUUUUUAUUUUCUUUCUUUAACCUGCUUCUCGUAUUUUAUUGUCGAUUUGACUUGUUUUAUUCUUGAAAUCUUCUUUUGUUAUUGAGAAUUGCGAUAUUGUAGGUACAAAAAAAAAAGGAUUGCGAACAGCAAACGUUAAUGUUUCUCAGAUUUCAGGAGUUACCUAAUCUAUGAAGGAUUCUCUAUAUACUUACUUACGACGAUUAAUUUAAAAGUGGUUCCAAGACACCUGAGAGUUCUUCAUCAACCUUAACUCCCCAUUUCCACAACCACCACUAUCUUUUCGUUUUUCUCUUUCUUCUUCAACGAGCAGAGAAGAGCAUCCCUGGCUUCUCCUCUUCCUUCCUCUUCUCUUUCUUCUGCUCGAACACCACCAUCACCAUCUCACUGAUGCUACACGAUCUAACUUUUUCUUCUUCCUAAAUCAGUUUUUCUUGAACACUCUUGUUUAAUCUCUACACUAGAAAACGUAGAUCCAGUAUUUCUAUUUAUUAUCUAGGGUUUCAAUUGUAGAGAUUCGGUAAGAGAUUACUUCGACUGAGCAAAUAUUAUCCCAAUUUCAGAGCCGUUCUUAAUCAGCUUUUGUAAUUUCUUUUGAUGAAUCAGAUGGAUUAAGCUUCAAUUCCUUUAAGGAUUUUUGAUAGCCAUUAGAAGGUGGACCAGCUAGAGAACCAAAGAAGGAACCAAAAGACUAGGAAAUCUAAGCAUUCUGGGUUAUCGAGUUUGAAUCUCCUAAGCCUGCUAAGCGUAGUGCGUAUACUGGUAAAAAUGCAUUCACUCCGGUGGAGGAGGAGUUAGUUUUUGAUAAUGGUGUGUCAGAUUAUGAUGAUGUUAGAUAUUGCUGCUCGGGUGCUAAUAUUUUCAAAAAGUGUUGGCCAUUAAUGGCAAUUGCUGUUAAAGUGAUUGAUUCUGCACUCAGAGUGGUGGACGUGGUGCUGAAAACCAACCCAUUAGGAGGAAAAAGGGAAACCAAAAGAGCCAUAAGAAAGUUUUCUUAGGAGGUUCUGUUCUUCAUCCUUCUUUGGUAAGAUCAUAUCAACAAGUACUGAGACCCUUCUUUGAAGAGGAAUUGCUUUAUGGACAAAAUCUACUUGAAACAGCAGAGCAAUUUGAGAAGAUUCUUAAAAUGAUUCCUGAUGAAUUGCAGUAAAUUAUUAUGUAGAAAUUGCAUCUCUUAAGACGGGGAAAGAAGUUCGCAAGCUAUUUGACGCCAUCCCUUGUCUCAUGGAAGGUACUGCAAAUCCAGACAUUUUAAAUGGCUUUCAUGAUUACACAUUUCCCAUACUAUAUGUUUGUCACUAUAUGGGGGCUUAUUGAGUCUGGUUAUGAUGAAGGUUAUAUCUAAAGAUGAAUUGAUUGAAGUAUUAAGAAAUUUGUAGAUGCCAGACCAUUGAUGGAUGGGCAGAUACUUCAUAUAUUUGUCUGUUUUCAUUUUUCCCUUGAAGACUUCUUCUUUGUUUGAAAUAUUAUGUAAGAUUCUUCUGGUGUAGUAAUGAGUAAUCUAAAUUGACAAUUCUUUUGUUUUAACCUUCAGUUUACACUUUCUUGCGAGGUACAACCCUUAGUGAUCAAAUUGUUGCUGGAUUAUGCUGUUGGUGGCCUUCAUCUGAUAAGUGUGUUGUGAUCUUCUUGACAUCGUGCACAACCAUGUAUGUGUUGCGACAUAAGAGUAAUGUGCUGAAAGUACAAGUGUCGGUUUGCUUUCAGGUUCCGGUAGGAGAAGAAGUUUGCGGCACUGCUUUUGCAGAACUCUAGCCAUUUCUGGUGGUGUCUAAAUGUUUGAUGAACAACUGAAGAAGUGGACAUCGGACGAAGCAGUAAUCAGGAUUGUUGAGGACAAGAACAUAUUGAAUUAGAUAUAGAAACAAGUGGAUUAAGGUAAUCUUAUUAGUAUUGCUGGAACUCUUAGAUUUUUAGAUGAGAAAAGAGUCAUCUGCCUAUACUUAGCAGUUAUGAAUCAUCUGACAGUUGAACUCACCGUGAACCCAAGUAUCAUUGAACAAAUCGAUUAACAUAUAUUAUAAUCCGAACAAUGUUUGCUUCUUUCGAAUGUAGAAUGAAUGAAUUUUUGAAUGUAGAAUGAAUGAAUGUUUGAAUAAAUGUCUGAAUGACUUUUUUUGAA